AACGAACGCUGGCGGCAUGCCUAACACAUGCAAGUCGAACGAGACCUUCGGGUCUAGUGGCGCACGGGUGCGUAACGCGUGGGAACCUGCCCUUAGGUUCGGAAUAACUCCCCGAAAGGGGUGCUAAUACCGGAUAAUGUCUUCGGACCAAAGAUUUAUCGCCUUUGGAUGGGCCCGCGUUGGAUUAGCUAGUUGGUAGGGUAAAAGCCUACCAAGGCGACGAUCCAUAGCUGGUCUGAGAGGAUGAUCAGCCACACUGGGACUGAGACACGGCCCAGACUCCUACGGGAGGCAGCAGUGGGGAAUAUUGGACAAUGGGCGAAAGCCUGAUCCAGCAAUGCCGAGUGAGUGAUGAAGGCCUUAGGGUUGUAAAGCUCUUUUACCCGGGAUGAUAAUGACAGUACCGGGAGAAUAAGCUCCGGCUAACUCCGUG
rnacentral:rRNA from 1 species